rnacentral:rRNA from 1 species
GACGAACGCUGGCGGCGUGCUUAACACAUGCAAGUCGAACGGAAAGGCCCUGCUUUUGUGGGGUGCUCGAGUGGCGAACGGGUGAGUAACACGUGAGUAACCUGCCCUUGACUUUGGGAUAACAUCAGGAAACUGGGGCUAAUACCGGAUAGGAUCUCCUGCUGCAUGGUGGGGGUUGGAAAGUUUCGGCGUUUGUGGAUGGAAUAGCGGCGUAUUAGCUAGUUGGUCAGGUAGUGGCUUACCAAGGCUUUGACGGGUAGCCGACCUGAGAGGGUGAUCGGCCACAAUGGAACUGAGACACGGUCCAGACUCCUAAGGGAGGCAGCAGUAGGGAAUCUGCCGCAAGGGGCGAAAGCCUGACGGAGCAACGCCGCGUGAGUGAUGAAGGUCUUCGGAUCGGAAAACUCUGUUAUUAGGGAAGAACAAAUGUGUAAGUAACUAUGCACGUCUUGACGGUACCUAAUCAGAAAGCCACGGCUAACUACGUG